rnacentral:lncRNA from 1 species
UAAAUCAUCAUAAAAUAAAUCAUGGUCCCUCGGAUGUUGCUUUCGAAAUUACGAUUUUGUCCCUCGAUGACCCUUCGGUGUAGCCUACGGUUAAAUGAUGAUCGUCCCUUCGAAUGCUAAGGUAUCCUUACAACUGUUGCCUUCAAUGACCUAUCGAUGACCCUACAAUGACCCUUAAACAUCCAAAGGGUAAAAUUACUUACUUCUCAAUAGUAAGGACAGUUUUACCCUCAUAAGGAUAGGA